rnacentral:rRNA from 1 species
GAAUGCUGACAUAAGUAACGAUAAAGCGGGUGAAAAGCCCGCUCGCCGGAAGACCAAGGGUUCCUGUCCAACGUUAAUCGGGGCAGGGUGAGUCGACCCCUAAGGCGAGGCCGAAAGGCGUAGUCGAUGGGAAACGGGUUAAUAUUCCCGUACUUGGUGUUACUGCGAAGGGGGGACGGAGAAGGCUAUGUUGGCCGGGCGACGGUUGUCCCGGUUUAAGCGUGUAGGUGUGUGUUCCAGGUAAAUCCGGUUCACUUUAACACUGAGGCGUGAUGACGAGGCACUACGGUGCUGAAGCAACAAAUGCCCUGCUUCCAGGAAAAGCCUCUAAGCAUCAGGUAACAUCAAAUCGUACCCCAAACCGACACAGGUGGUCAGGUAGAGAAUACCAAGGCGCUUGAGAGAACUCGGGUGAAGGAACUAGGCAAAAUGGUGCCGUAACUUCGGGAGAAGGCACGCUGACACGUAGGUGAAGUGAUUUACUCACGGAGCUGAAGUCAGUCGAAGAUACCAGCUGGCUGCAACUGUUUAUUAAAAACACAGCACUGUGCAAACACGAAAGUGGACGUAUACGGUGUGACGCCUGCCCGGUGCCGGAAGGUUAAUUGAUGGGGUCAGCGCAAGCGAAGCUCCUGAUCGAAGCCCCGGUAAACGGCGGCCGUAACUAUAACGGUCCUAAGGUAGCGAAAUUCCUUGUCGGGUAAGUUCCGACCUGCACGAAUGGCGUAAUGAUGGCCAGGCUGUCUCCACCCGAGACUCAGUGAAAUUGAACUCGCUGUGAAGAUGCAGUGUACCCGCGGCAAGACGGAAAGACCCCGUGAACCUUUACUAUAGCUUGACACUGAACAUUGAGCCUUGAUGUGUAGGAUAGGUGGGAGGCUUUGAAGUGUGGACGCCAGUCUGCAUGGAGCCGACCUUGAAAUACCACCCUUUAAUGUUUGAUGUUCUAACGUGGACCCGUGAUCCGGGUUGCGGACAGUGUCUGGUGGGUAGUUUGACUGGGGCGGUCUCCUCCUAAAGAGUAACGGAGGAGCACGAAGGUUGGCUAAUCCUGGUCGGACAUCAGGAGGUUAGUGCAAUGGCAUAAGCCAGCUUGACUGCGAGCGUGACGGCGCGAGCAGGUGCGAAAGCAGGUCAUAGUGAUCCGGUGGUUCUGAAUGGAAGGGCCAUCGCUCAACGGAUAAAAGGUACUCCGGGGAUAACAGGCUGAUACCGCCCAAGAGUUCAUAUCGACGGCGGUGUUUGGCACCUCGA